GAUGAACGCUGGCGGCGUGCCUAAUACAUGCAAGUCGAGCGAACAGAUAAGGAGCUUGCUCCUUUGACGUUAGCGGCGGACGGGUGAGUAACACGUGGGUAACCUACCUAUAAGACUGGGAUAACUUCGGGAAACCGGAGCUAAUACCGGAUAACAUUUGGAACCGCAUGUUUCUAAAGUGAAAGAUGGUUUUGCUAUCACUUAUAGAUGGACCCGCGCCGUAUUAGCUAGUUGGUAAGGUAACGGCUUACCAAGGCGACGAUACGUAGCCGACCUGAGAGGGUGAUCGGCCACACUGGAACUGAGACACGGUCCAGACUCCUAAGGGAGGCAGCAGUAGUGAAUCUUCCGCAAUGGGCGAAAGCCUGACGGAGCAACGCCGCGUGAGUGAUGAAGGGUUUCGGCUCGUAAAACUCUGUUAUUAGGGAAGAACAAAUGUGUAAGUAACUGUGCACGUCCUGACGGUACCUAAUCAGAAAGCCACGGCUAACUACGUG
rnacentral:rRNA from 1 species